rnacentral:RNase_P_RNA from 1 species
AUGCGAUGGCGGACGGCCGCUCUCCGGCUGCCGAAAGGCAAAUGGGGAGAGGAAAGUCCGGACACCACAAGGCGGCAUGCCGCGUAGAACGCGCGGGAGGCCGGAAUGAAAAUUUCGGCCGACGGAAAGUGUCACAGAAAACAAACCGCCUUUCCGCGCAAGCGGGAAGGCAAGGGUGAAAAGGCGGGGUAAGAGCCCACCGCCCCGGACGCAAGUUCGGGGGCACGAAAAACCCCAUGCGGUGCAAGACAGAACAGGAGGAACCGGGUUGCCUGCCCGAUCUCAAAGCGCAAGCCGAGGGAACCCUCCGGGUAAUAGUCGCAGCUCCGAAAGGGCUGUCCCGCCCGAAAGGCGCGGGGCAAGACAAAUGGCCGUCCAGGUUUUCGGCGCAAGUCGUGAACCGGACAGAAUCCGGCUUACAGCCAUCCCUCAUCG